AGAAGACAAGCAGAUGAGGAGACAAAACCUACUGAUGUGGGUACCCAAGCAGGAACCCCCCUCUUGCACCGGCGACUCACGUGGGAAGAAGAAUUCACUGAGCUGAAAUGGAGUGAGAGCUAAGAUGCUCUCAGAAUAUUCUUAAAAUGACUGUGCUGCAAAGAAGCCCGGGUGAAUAGAAGAAAAUAGAAGGAAUGGUGGAUACAAGUGAAGGUUAAAAUGAGACCCCAUUUAUCGCACCAGCUGUUGGUGAUUUCAGCGCACCUUUCCAAGCCUCUUGAGAGUUCUGCUCUAACCACACUGCCCCCUAGUGUUCUCUCGCUUUGGUGCAACGUCCGUCUUGUACACUUCCUUCCACAGACCUGUAAUCAGCUAUUUCUUCAGGGAGCCUGUGAUUCCUUUUAGUGGAAAAUGUGCAGGUUUCUCAUACUUCCGGAGAAAUAGAAAGCACCAGAUGACAGCCACCACACACUUUUGUCCCCAUUGCAAUAGGAUGCUUCUAACAAUCGUAAAAUUAUGAAACACUGAAUUCCUUAAAAGUUGUCCAUUUGUGGAUUUAUCUGAUGGUAACUAUUAAAUAUUUAAAAGUAACUUUAAUGAAUCUACUUAUGAUGAUUGAGUAAUCUAUUCUCUGAAUUCCACCAAAAAACCAUUUUAUGACCACAGUCAUAACGAACAUAUUUCUAUAGUCCUAAGCUGGCAAGAUAAAUAGAGAACAGUUCAUAAUAUAAACAAUAUAUUUAUUUAUUCCUAAACUAAUAAGAUGACUAUCAAUCUGUAAGAGACUAUGAAAAUCAAUACCGUAUACUUGGUAUAGUUGGUGAGAAUUUCAGGAGC
rnacentral:lncRNA from 1 species